GAUCGAUUUCGUCUGAAGCUGCGCAAGAGUUGCUCAAUCGCCUGAGAAAAUUUAAACGAUAUCAACACCACCAACUCGUGAAAGGGCACUGGGAAAAUGAAGGCCCCUUUACGACGCAGAGCCAGCAAGGGACUAUCUGCGUGUUGCUUCUCUUUUGGUAAAAAAAGGUGCAAGAAUUAAAAUAAGGAUGAGCACAGUGGCGCAGAAUGAGAGCAGCAGGCUUUUUGAUAUUUUUUGGACGAUAGCCGGCUCGGCGGUGCUCGUCAUUUGCACGAUUGUCAUUUUUAACAGCCUGGAAAAAUUGGUGCACGAGAUGAGGCACAUGAACUAUCAGCACGAUCAUUUCAUCGAGUAUAACCAUUUGCAAAGGCAGCAUAGAUAUCCGCAAAAUUUCUAGUUAAGGCUAAAAUAAAAUGUUAUUAAAAUAAAUUUGAAAUAUUUUGU